CGUGCUUGCACUGAUUUUAACAAUGAAGCGAGUGGCGAACUGGUGAGUAACACGUGGGAAAUCUGCCCAGAAGCAGGGGAUAACACUUGGAAACAGGUGCUAAUACCGUAUAACAACAAARUCCGCAUGGAUUUUGUUUGAAAGGUGGCUUCSGCUAUCACUUCUGGAUGAUCCCSCGGCGUAUUAGUUAGUUGGUGAGGUAAAGGCCCACCAAGACGAUGAUACGUARCCGACCUGAGAGGGUAAUCSGCCACAUUGGGACUGARACACGGCCCAAACUCCUACGGGAGGCAGCAGUAGGGAAUCUUCCACAAUGGACGARAGUCUGAUGGAGCAAUGCCSCGUGAGUGAARAAGGGUUUCGGCUCGUAAAACUCUGUUGUUAAAGAARAACACCUUUGAGAGUAACUGUUCAAGGGUUGACGGUAUUUAACC
rnacentral:rRNA from 1 species